CUUCUUUUUCUUUGGUAAAUGUACGUACAAAUCGAAUGGUUAACAUGUUUAACUUAGAACUAUAGUCGUCUUGUUCUAUUAUACAGUGAAGUCGUAAAGAUAUGCUACUUAGCGUAAUAUGAGAAUGUAUUAUUUUUCGUGCAAGGUGAAAAGAGAAAAUGAGGCUUGCUCCCGGCCUCCGCUGAUACGAGCAGCGCUUUGACGUCUGCAGUAAUAAUAAAUAAGGAAUCAAAACAAACUAAAAAACUAAAUAACAAAGUGGUCUGUUAAAACAGUGUCGAACAGAGGGUAUAAAAGUGAUAGUUUUUAAAUAUAAUUGUAUGCUUAAUGUAUAGUUUAUCACAGUUAAUCGAGUGCUCAAAGAGCUUUUUUUUUAUGUGUAGUAAAAUAACAUUAUCACAGAUAAAUGUAUCAUAUAAUAAUAAUCGAGUGCUCAGUGAGCUUAUAUGUAAAAACAAUUAUAUGGAACCUUAUGUGCCAGACGCGAUUUUUUGGUAGAAUUGUGGCAAGUUGUGGUCAAGAAGGCUUUCAAGCGAUUCGUUCAAAAUUCCUACAGAUGAUAGAUAGUUUUCAUGCGUGGCAAGUUUUUCGACGAAUGUUAAUUGUUGGCGUUGGGCAUAUUCACAAAGAGGAACAACAUUUGACGCAGUAUAAAUGACUUCUAAUUCUUUGGCCACUGUUGGGGAAACAGAGAACCAGAUCGGAAAUCCAUAGAGCAAAAUAGGACGGAUUGCUACCUUGUAGAGGAGGAGUUUUGUUUUUUGAGGUAGGUGUUUAUUGUUUAACACAUAUGCAAAUCUUGCUAAAACACCUUUUCCUUUUUUCAUGAUUGAGCGGGCAUGGAAAUUAAAUUUCAUUAAGUUGUUGAAUUGGAUGCCGAGAUAUUUGAUAGAGGUUCUGAAUGGUAUGUUUACGCCAUCCAAGGACAGUUGUAGUGAUUUGCUCUCUGGGACAACGUACCAUGGACAUUUUCCGGAGGCGUUACGUAUGCAGAUUGCAACAGACUUCGCGGCGUUUAUUUGUAUACCCCACUUUUUGUAGUAGCUGUUGAUGUUCUGAAGGUGAUUUUUUGCGUUAUUUAAUGCAAUUGAUGGUGAUGUGUGAUGCGCAUAAAUGAGGCAAUCAUCGGCGUAUAAAAUUGCUUUUGAGUUUUGACUAAUGUGAGGGAAGUCGUGAAGGAAUAGAUUGAAGAGAAAUGGUGCCAAAAUACUGCCUUGUGGAACUCCGCUAUUUACUUCUCCUGGAGGAUUAACUCGAAGAUUUUCCCAAUGUUGGACAACAACGAAAUUGGCCGAAAGUCAUCAACAAACACAGCAUUCGGCUUUUUUUUAAUUGGGAUGAUUUGGGCGCGUUUCCAUUGUAUUGGAAAAUACCCAUUGUUGAUGCAAUUGUUGAACAGACAGGUGAAAAAUCUUAUUGUUGAGUCCGGAAAUUUUUUAAGUAUAAAGUUUGAUAUGCCAUCGGAUCCACAAGAUCUUUUUGAAUUGGUAGUAGCAAUAACACUCUUUACUUUUUCAGGAGUAGUAAAAUGAUGGGAGUCGGGAUUGUCCAGGACAUUGAAUUCGUCAUUGAAAGUGUAAAUGUAAGGUGUUGUGGCGUCAAUACACGAUGAAACCCUGGAAUUCAGAUCGUGAACUGGAUGUAGAGGCAAUUUCUCUAUGAAAAUUGAUGAAUAAAAUAAUUGAAACUUA